ACCGGGACCAGGACCAGGUCUGAACCAGGACCAGGACCGUGAUGGUCCAGGACUUCCACGUGGUCCGGUGCUGCACCUGCCAGACCUUCCAGGUGCAGCAGGUGAAGAAGGUGAAGAAGUGGAUCUGCAAAGUUUGUGGUCAGAAACAGUCGCUGCUGCGGGAAUAUGGGCGGGGCUCCGGCGUCGACUGCCGUCGUCACGUCCAGAAACUGAACAUGAUUGAAGAGGAGGAGAGCUGGAGGAGGAGGAGAGACGGUCGUCACGG